rnacentral:misc_RNA from 1 species
GAUGAAGAACGUAGUGAAAUGCGAUAAGUAAUGUGAAUUGCAGAAUUCAGUGAAUCAUCGAAUCUUUGAACGCACAUUGCGCCCGGUAGUAAUCUGCCGGGCAUGCCUGUCCGAGCGUCAUUUCACCCCUCGAACCACUAUUCGCGUAGCUGGAUCGGUGUUGGGGCACUACGGUGGAAUACCCGUAGGCCCCGAAAUGAAGUGGCGGUCCCGCCGCGGCGCCCCCAUGCGUAGUAGCUUUCAGUCUCGCAUCGGGUCCCGGCGGAGGCCUGCCGUCAAGCCUAUUUUAUAAUCUUUUACAGAUGGUUUGACCUCGGAUCAGGUAGGGUUACCCGCUGAACUUAAGCAUAUCAAUAAGCGGAGGA